UACGGAGGGUGCGAGCGUUGUCCGGAAUCACUGGGCGUAAAGGGCGCGUAGGCGGCUCGACAAGCGUGUGGUGAAAGUCCGGGGCUCAACCCCGGAUCGGCCGUGCGGACUGUGGGGCUGGAGCACUGUAGAGGCGAGCGGAAUUCCGGGUGUAGCGGUGGAAUGCGUAGAGAUCCGGAGGAACACCAGCGGCGAAGGCGGCAUCCUGGACUGGUCCUGACACUCAGGAGCGAAAGCGUGGGGAGCGAUCCGG
rnacentral:rRNA from 1 species